rnacentral:lncRNA from 10 species
UUCCUGGCUAUGAAUUGAUACCUUUCAACAAUUCUAGAAAAUUUGUAGUCAUGAUCUUUGAGAAUAUCACCUCCUUCCCACUCUCUGUAUAUUCUAAUAAAAUCUAAACUGGACCUUCUCACUCAAUCCUCUCUUUCUCUUAACCUUGCUUUUAGAUUUCCCAUCUCUUAGUGUCUCUGGAUUGCAUUCUGGGUUGUUCCUUCAGCUCCUUUCUCAGUUCACUAAUUUUCUUUUUUGCUCUGUCAAAUCUGUUAGUUAUUUCUUCCAAGAACUUAAUUUCAAUUUUAAAAAUUUUGUUUCUAGAAGAUGUAAUGGAUCUUUUCAAAUCUGUUCAUUUUUGCUCAAAUUUUCAAACUUUUCAUCUAUUUCUUUAAACAUAGUAAGCAUAGUCUUAUAUUCUGUGUCUGAUAAGGUCAAUAUCUGAAGUCUUAGUGGUCAGUUUUUGUCCACUGUGGCUGCUGCUCAGUUAUCACGCCUUGUUUGCUUGUGAGAUCUCUGCCCCGUGAGAGAGUUCUUUGAGUCCUCAGAUAAAGUUAAAUUGCUCCGGGGUGUUUCUGCUAGUCACCUGGAAUGCCACCAAUCCAGAACACCUUUUUCGUUCUUUUUUAUUUAUUUACUUAUUUUUUGAGACACAGUCUUGCUCCGGCUGGAGUGCAAUGGCAUAACCUCAGCUCACUUCAGCCUCGACCUCCCAGGCUCAAGGAAUCCUUCCACCUCAGCCUUCCCAGUAGCUGGGACUACAGGCACACACCACCAUGCCCAGCUAAUUUUUGUAGAGAUGGGGUUUUACCACCUCGCCCAGGCUAGUUUUGAGCUCCAGGACUCAUGCGAUCUGUCUGCUUCAGCCUCCCAAAGUGCUAGGAUUACAGGCGUGAGUCUGAGUCACCAUACCCAGCUUUGUUCUUUUUUUUUGGAGAUGGACUCUCACUCUGUCGCCCAGGCUGGAGUGCAAUGGUGUGAUCUCGGCUCACUGCAACCUCUGCUCCCCAGGUUUAAGCAAUUCUCUGCCUCAGCCUCCUGAGUAGCUGGGAUUACAGGCGUGUGCCACUAUGUCUGACUAAUUUUUUGUAUUUUUAGUAGAGACAGGGUUUCACCAUCUUGGCCAGGCUGGUCUUGAACUCCUGACCUCGUGAUCCACCCACCUUGGUCUCCCAAAGUGCUGGGAUUACAGGUGUGAGCCACCGUGCCCGGCCGCCUUGUUCUUUUUUUGAGACAGUGUCUCAUUCUGUCACCCAGGUUGGAGUGCAGUGGUGCAAUCAUAGCUCACUGCAGCCUCAGCCUUCUGGGCUCAAACUAUCCUCCCAAGUAGCUGGGACUAUGAUAGAGACACACACCACACGCCCAGCUAACUUCUUACAUUUUUUGGAGAGAUGGGGUCUUGCUAGGUUGGCUAGGCUGGUGUUGAACUCCUGGGCUCAAGUGAUCCUCCCACCUCAGCCUCCUGAUUUACCUGGGACUACAGAUCCAUGCCACCAUGCCUGGCUUUUUUUUUUUUUUUUUUUUUUUUUUUUUUGAGACGGAGUCUGGCUCUGUCACCCAGGCUGGAGUGCAGUGGCGCAAUCUCAGCUCACUGCAAGCUCCUUCUCCCGGGUUCGUGCCAUUCUCCUGCCUCAGCCUCCCCAGUAGCUGGGACUACAGGUGCCCACCACCACGCCCGGGUAAUUUUUUGUGUUUUUAGUAGAGAUGGGGUUUCACCAUGUUAGCCAGGAUGGUCUUGAUCUCCUGACCUCAUGAUCCGCCCAUCUUGGCCUCCCAAAGUGCUGAGAUUACAGGUGUGAGCCACCACGCCUGGUCGUCUGGCUCAUUUUCUUACUUUUUGUAGUGAUGGGGUCUCCCUAUGUUGCCCAGGCUGGUCUUGAACUCCUGGGCUCAAGCAGUCCUCCCACCUCGGUCUCCCAAAACACUGGGAUUACAGUCCAUCAGCCACUGUGCCUGGUGCAGGACGCUUUUAAGACUAAAUUAUCUUCUUAAGGUUUCACAGGCAGUGUGAAUUAAAACUGAAAGGUCAUGUGAAGCCUGGCUUGAGGUUAUUUUUUCCUUCCCUCCAGGGAGGUUUAAUUUUCUUUCUUUCUUUUUUUUUGUUUUUGAGACGGAGUCUCGCUCUGUCGCCCAGGCUUGAGUGCAGUGGCGCGAUCUCGGCUCACUGCAAGCUCCGCCUCCCAGGUUCAUGCCAUUCUCCUGCCUCAGCCUCCCGAGUAGCUGGGACUACAGGCACCUGCCACCACGCCCGGCUAAUUUUUUUGUAUUUUUAGUAGAGACGGGGUUUCACCGUGUUAGCCAGGAUGGUCUCGAUCUCCUGACCUCGUGAUCCGCCCGUCUCGGCCUCCCAAAGUGCUGGGAUUACAGGCGUGAGCCACCGCGCCCGGCUUUUGUUUUUGUUUUUUUUUUUUUGAGACACGGUCUUGGUCUGUUGCCCAGGCUGGAGUGCAGUGGCAUGAUCUUGGCUCACUGCAACCUCCACCUCCCGGGUUCAAGCGAUUUUCCUGCCUCAUCCUCCCGAGUAAGUGGGACUACAGGUGCCCACCACCAUGCCUGGCUAAUUUCUGUAUUUUUUCAGUAGAGAAUGGGUUUUACCAUGUUGGCCAGGCUGGUCUCAAA